rnacentral:rRNA from 1 species
UACGGAGGGUGCAAGCGUUAAUCGGAAUUACUGGGCGUAAAGCGUACGCAGGCGGCUUUGCAAGACAGGUGUGAAAUCCCCGGGCCUAACCUGGGAACUGCAUUUGUGACUGCAUGGCUAGAGUUUGUCAGAGGGGGGUGGAAUUCCACGUGUAGCAGUGAAAUGCGUAGAUAUGUGGAGGAACACCGAUGGCGAAGGCAGCCCCCUGGGAUGUGACUGACGCUCAUGUACGAAAGCGUGGGGAGCAAACAGG